AUGCGCAGAUAUCAGGAGGAACACCGAUGGCGAAGGCAGAUCUCUGGGCCGUAACUGACGCUGAGGAGCGAAAGGGUGGGGAGCAAACAGGCUUAGAUACCCUGGUAGUCCACCCCGUAAACGUUGGGAACUAGUUGUGGGGUCCUUUCCACGGAUUCCGUGACGCAGCUAACGCAUUAAGUUCCCCGCCUGGGGAGUACGGCCGCAAGGCUAAAACUCAAAGGAAUUGACGGGGACCCGCACAAGCGGCGGAGCAUGCGGAUUAAUUCGAUGCAACGCGAAGAACCUUACCAAGGCUUGACAUAUACGAGAACGCUGCAGAAAUGUAGUUCUCUUUGGACACUCGUAUACAGGUGGUGCAUGGUUGUCGUCAGCUCGUGUCGUGAGAUGUUGGGUUAAGUCCCGCAACGAGCGCAACCCUCGUUCUAUGUUGCCAGCACGUUAUGGUGGGAACUCAUGGGAUACUGCCGGGGUCAACUCGGAGGAAGGUGGGGAUGACGUCAAAUCAUCAUGCCCCUUAUGUCUUGGGCUUCACGCAUGCUACAAUGGCCGGUACAAAGGGCUGCAAUACCGUGAGGUGGAGCGAAUCCCAAAAAGCCGGUCCCAGUUCGGAUUGAGGUCUGCAACUCGACCUCAUGAAGUCGGAGUCGCUAGUAAUCGCAGAUCAGCAACGCUGCGGUGAAUACGUUCCCGGGUCUUGUACACACCGCCCGUCAAGUCAUGAAAGUCGGUAACACCUGAAGCCGGUGGCCCAAUCCACUGUGGAGGGAGCCGUCGUAGAGUGGAGGCCAGCCCCGCAC
rnacentral:rRNA from 2 species